GGGUCAGUAGGUUGGUCGUGCCACCGGUACGUACUGGUCUCACUGAUUCCUCCUUCUUGAAGAACCGUAAUGCCAUUAAUUUGGUGUUGCGGGGAAACAGGACUGUUACUUUGAAAAAAUUAUAGUGUUUAAAGCAAGCUAACGCUUGAAUACAUUAGCAUGGAAUAAUGAAUUAGGACGAUCGAUCCUAUUUUGUUGGUUUCUAGGAUUGACGUA
rnacentral:rRNA from 1 species